GCCCGGAUGGUGAAACUGGUAGACACAAGGGACUUAAAAUCCCUCGGCGCAAGCCGUGCGGGUUCGAGCCCCGCUCCGGGCACCA
rnacentral:tRNA from 1 species